AAAAAAUAUAUAAUCAUUGGCACUUGACACUAAUCAAUGACUUUUGAAUAUAGAUACAGUCCAACCAAGCCACCAGCUAUUGCAUGAUAUGGGAAUAUCUAAAGUCGUGGAGCUGCUUUCCAAAGUGCUGGAAGAAAAUAAAUUGAUGAAAGCGGAAAUUACCAACCUGGGGAGUGAAGUGAGGGCGCUUAGGAGAGAGAUGGUGAGGCCGGUAGCACCAGAAGCUGCCGCUUCGUCCAUCAAGCUGCCUCUGAGGACAAUGGAGGAGUUUCAAUUAGCAGAGGCUGUUAUGAGAGAAACCCCCUGCGAAAAACAAAAGAUGAUCUUAACAUUCAGUCUAAUUGGAGGGCACACUGCAGAAGAGCCCGUAAGAAGGAUGUUGCAGAGUGGCCUAACAAAUAACCUGGCGUGUCGCUUCAACUGGGCAGGGAAAGGCUUCAAGGAAGCCUUUAAAAGCACUGUCCUUAGUGAUGUACUGUUCGCUGCACUCCAAUAA
rnacentral:lncRNA from 1 species